rnacentral:tRNA from 1 species
GGGGGUGUAGUUUAAAUGGUAAAACAGCGAAUUUGCAAUUCGUUAAUUUAGGUUCAAUUCCUGAUACUUCCA